CACGGGUGAAGCUGCUGCGAGUGCAGCGGCUGAAGAUCAAGUACCAGAUGUGUCCAUCCUGGAAGCCCGCGGAAGUCUUCAUGAAAAACAGAUAGUGUCUUCUGUCUUGCUCUGUCACCCAGGCUGGAGUGCAAUGGCACGAUCUCGGCUCACUGCAACCUCUGCCUCCCAGAUUCAAGCAAUUAUCCUGCCUCAAACUCCCAGGUAGCUGGGAUUACAGGUGCCCACAACCACGCCUGGCUAAUUUUUUGUAUUUUUAGUAGAGACAUGGUUUCACCACAUUGGCCAGGCUGGUUUCACACUCCUGAUCUCAAGUGAUCUGGCCGCCUUGGCCUCCCAAAGCGCUGGGAUUACAGGUGUGAGCCACCGCGCCUGGCCACAUUUUUUUUUCGGAUGAAGUCUUCCUCUGUUGCCAGGCAGGAGUGCAGUGGCAUGAUCUUGGCUCACUGCAGCCUCUGCCUCUGGGGUUCAAGUGAUUCUCCUGCCUCAGCCUCCCAAGUAUCUGGGACUACAGGCGUGAGCUAUUUUUUUUUUUUUUUUUGUAUUUUUAGUAAAGACGGGGUAUCACCAUGUUGGCCAGGAUGGUCUCGAUUUCUUGACCCCUUGAUCCACCCGCCUCAGCCUCCCAAAGUGCUGGUAUUACAGGCAUGAGCCACCGUGCCCCGCUCCCCACCUACUUUUUUUUUUUUAAUAGAAGAAACACAGCAUCAUAACAGCAUCACUUAGAGUUAGCAAUGAAGGCUCUGGAAGUUAGAUUAGAAUUAUAGACGGCCCUCUUCCCAGCUGUGUGACCUCGGGCAAGUUACUUUGUUCUUUGUACCUUAGAUGACUUGUCUGUAAAUUGGGGCAAGUAAUAAUAACAGAACCUACCUCACUGGAUUGUUGAAAGGAAUAAAAGUGAUGAUUUCGUAAAGCAUUUGGGGCAGUAGCUGGCAUAUAGGUCAAUAUUCAAUCAGUGUCAGCAUUGUUAUUUUUGCUGUAAUUUUAAUAUAAUAAUAUAGCUAAAAUACUAUUAGUUUUGUUACAGUUAGAUCAUUGGAGUACAGUGGUUAAAAAUCCCAGGCAUGACGGAGUGCAGUGGCUCAUUCCUGUAAUCCCAGGACUUUAGCAGGGCAAGGAGAGAGGGUUGCUUGUGGUCAGGAGUUCAAGACGAGCCUGGCCAAUGUGGUGAAACCCUGUCUCUAAUAAAAGUACAAAAAUUAGCCAGGCAUGGUGGCAUGCACCUGUAAUCUCAGCUACUUGAGUGGCUGAAGCAGGAGAAUUGCUUGAACUCAGGAGGCAGAGGUCACAGUGAGCCAAUAUCGUGCCACCGUACUCCAACCUGGGUGACAGAGACUCUGUUCAAAAAAAAAAAAAAAAAAAAUCCGAGGCAUGGCCAAGCACAGUGGCUCACACCUGUAACCCCAAAACUUUGGGAGACUGAUAUGGAGGAUCCCUUGAGCCCAGGAGUUUGAGACCAGUCUGGGCAAUAUGGUGAAACCCCAUCUCUACAAAAAACAGUUGGGCAUGGUGGUGUGUAUCUAUAGUUUCAGCAACUCAGGAGGCUGAGGUAGGAGGAUCUCUUGAGAAGGUCGAGACCAUCCUAGGCAACAUAGCAAAGAUUCGUCUCUACUUAAAAAAAAGGAAAAGAAAAAGAAAGUGAGGCAUCAUGGUGCAUGCCUGCAGUCCUAGCUGCUCGAGAGGCUGAGGAAACACCUUGUCGAGGAGACAAUCUCCAACAUUGAUGGAUAGCCAGGAGUUGCACAGGAAAUACCACUUCCGGUCCAUCGCCAGGUCAUAGACCAGCACCCAGCUCACAUACCUGGAGAAGGGACCCAGAGUUUUGAGGAUAAGGUGGAGCAGGGGAGGAGGCUUCACUGGACAUCACCAAGGAAGGGCAGCCCUGUAGGAAUGCAAAAGCCACCUAUGUCAAGGUCACAGGCUUUUCUGGGGCAGCUGACAUCCAGUGAUGCGGUACCUACAGGGAUCAAGACCUGGGUAUUUCAACCCAACUUGGGACAGCUCCAGAGCUCCCCAGUGGUGGACCGCACUGUUGCUGGGCUGGAUCACAGCUUGACUUUUCUGCCAUCCUGCCUCCUUCCCUCCCUUCCCAGGUGCUGGUCCCAGGGCCCUGUAAUAAACACCCUGCAUAUGCAACUCCAUCUGAGAGCCUGCUUCCCGGGAGCAACCUACAGCGGCCACACUUAAAAUAUUAAUGCUUAAUCCCAUAGGUGAAUUAAAGUGCUAUUGUUUUUCUAAAGCCGCCAGCUACUGAUGGGUGGUCAGACUGGACACCACUCAUCUCGGUCACUCAUUUUGGCCUCAGAAUGCAGAGAACCUUGCUCCAAACUUGCCAGCUGUGUGACCUUGGGCAAGUCACAGGUUGAUGCUGCAAAAGGGCCAAGGGUGGGGCUAGCACUGAAGAUGGGGCUAGCUGUAGCUUCCAGUCCUUUUCCUAGCUACCGAUCCAGUUUGUGUGGACCAUGAACCAGUGGGCUUUUCUGACCCUCAGUUUCCUCAUCUGUGAAACAGAGAUCAUUCUAUGUGUCUUGCGGAGGCUUGUGAAGAUCAGGAAGGAGGCAAAUGUACAGUGCCCAGCCCUGUGCCUGUCACUCUGCAUAUUCUCGUGGUUUGUCUGCCCCCAACUCACCACGA